UUGACCUCAAAUCAGGUAGGAUUACCCGCUGAACUUAAGCAUAUCAAUAAGCGGAGGAAAAGAAACUAACAAGGAUUCCCCUAGUAACUGCGAGUGAAGCGGGAAAAGCUCAAAUUUAAAAUCUGGCGGUCGUUGGCUGUCCGAGUUGUAAUCUAGAGAAGUGUUACCUGUGCUGGACCGUGUACAAGUCUCCUGGAAUGGAGCAUCAUAGAGGGUGAGAAUCCCGUCUUUGACAUGGACUGCCUGUACAUGAUGGUGCGCUCUCGAAGAGUCGAGUUGUUUGGGAAUGCAGCUCAAAAUGGGUGGUAAAUGCCAUCUAAAGCUAAAUAUUGGCGAGAGACCGAUAGCGAACAAGUACCGUGAGGGAAAGAUGAAAAGAACUUUGGAAAGAGAGUUAAACAGUACGUGAAAUUGCUGAAAGGGAAACGCUUGAAGUCAGUCGUGUUGGCUAGAAAUCAGCCUUGCUCUUGCUCGGUGUACUUUCUUGUCGACGGGUCAGCAUCAGUUUUGACCAUUGGAGAAGGACAUUGGGAAUGUGGCAUCCUUGGAUGUGUUAUAGCCCGGUGUCGCAUACGAUGGUUGGGAUUGAGGAACUCAGCACGCCGCAAGGCCGGGUCUCUGACCACGUUCGUGCUUAGGAUGCUGGCAUAAUGGCUUUAAUCGACCCGUC
rnacentral:rRNA from 1 species